rnacentral:lncRNA from 13 species
AUUUGUUGAAACUUGCUUCACAGCCAAACAUGUGAUUAAUGUACGCUUGAGAAGUACCUGUUUUCUGAGAUUACUGGGUGUGCGGUUCUAUAUAUGGUCCUUAGGCUGGAGUGCAGUGGUACAAUCUUGGCUGGAACUGAUGUAAUGAUUUCUCUACCUGGAGGAUACCUUGAGCACAGAUUCAAAAGCAGCAUAUUCUGAAAAGAAAUAGUCUAUACUGUCUAGAGACAUGUGAGCCCCAUGGGCAGGGCUGCAUUUGGCCUCCUUGCACGUAAGAGGACCGAGUUUCUUCAAGCUUUGUGAUGGAAGAACAGACAGAUCAGACAACCAAUGCCCCACUCCUAGUGUCUCAACAGUAGGUGGGCAGCUUCUGGCUACACAGAAAACCCAACUAAUCACAACUUAUGUGCCAUCCAGCAUUUGUAGGUUUCAAGAGAAUUAGGAAACUAUAAAAAUCAGAUUUGAGCACCAGUAUACAAAAACAAAAAGUCAACACCUCACCUAAGGGAGAGUACAAGAUACAGAAAGAGAAAGAGAAAGUAGAAAUUCAAAACAGACAUCUAGUAAAAUAAAACUGUCAUAUAUGUGAUAAAAUGUAAAUUU